AGGGGUAUAGCUCAGUGAUGGGGUGCAUGCUUAGCAUGCACAAGGUCCUGGGUUCAAUCCCCAGUACCUCCA
rnacentral:tRNA from 1 species